ACUUGUUUCCUUGCCACUGUCGCCAUGGCCUGAUGAGAUGUUGGCCAAAAUAUUUCUUAAAAACUUUUGAGGAAUUAUGAAAUUGGAUUGCACUGUCUCUCAGAUCGAAACAGUGGCAGAAACCAUGUCGCUAAUUUUCAUCGAAAA